rnacentral:rRNA from 1 species
AUGAGUAGUGACUGGGAGGACAUUUUUCCUCAAGUCAACAUUAGGAAAUUGGUCAGAGAUGUACCAGACCAUAAUGCUCUUUUGCUGUCCUCUGACAACCAUGUUGUCAGAUCUCCACAGACAAGAGAAUUUAGAUUUGAAUUAAGUUGGCUGAAAUCAGAUGAGUUUCUUCCCUUAGUGGAGAAAAUCUGGAAUCAAUAUGUGAAAGCCACUAACCCAAUUGAUAUUCUAAAUAUCAAAUUAAAACAUUUUAAAAAGUUCUUCAAGGGGUGGGGCUCGAAUGAAUUUGGUCAUGAAAAAAUCAGAAGAAGGAAAAUCAGAGAAGAGUUGAGAUUGAUUGAGGAGGAGGAAGAGAACGGAAAUAUUGAUCUUGGUAUAUUUUGUAAAAAAAACUGA